GGAGAAUACUCUGGAAAAACUCAUGUAUGAGUACCGAAGGUGUAAGGUCCUGACGGACUGAAUCUCUCAGGUAAAGGAGACAGAGUGGUGAUA
rfam:Lachnospiraceae bacterium CAG:215 genomic scaffold, scf61